AGGACGAACGCUGGCGGCGUGCUUAACACAUGCAAGUCGAACGGUUUAUAAAGGGGCUUGCCCCUUAGUAGAUAGUGGCGAACGGGUGCGUAACACGUGAGCAACCUGCCCCCAAAGUUUGGAAUAACGACCGGGAAACCGAUGACUAAUACCAAAUAUGCUCACACCUAGUACACGAAGAUAGAGUGAGGAAAGUUUUUCGCUUUGGGAGGGGCUCGCGGCCCUAUCAGCUUGGUUAGGUGAGGUAACGGCUCACCAA
rnacentral:rRNA from 1 species